rnacentral:lncRNA from 1 species
AGUUGAGUGAAGUAGUCCUACCCCAACAAAAAUUACAUUUAGGGAAUCCUUUCUGCAAGACUUUGCGCUUAUUAAUGGAUUUAAUUUUUUUUUUUGAAACAAAUAUAGGAAAUCCUUUAUUGCCAUAGAAGACCAAAAGUUUACAACCGACCCAGCUGUAGGCGGCCUGGGCAGGGGACUGGCUUAACAGAUCCUAGAGCUUAAGACUUAAUAUCAUACAUGCAGCCAUCUAUGCCCUUGGGUAGCUGGAGACGUCUGCCUGCUCGGAUCGAGGACCCACCGCCCGACCCCGUCGCUUGGCUAUGGAGGUUCGAAAACAAAUCCCGCCAUUGGGCCGGACAAUACCCACUGUGGGUGACCCUCUACCUUCAAAGAAAAAACUCCAUGAUAGCACCACCGCUUUUUGAAUCGAAGUGCAAGUUUCGCACUGCUAGCUCGUUUAGAUUUGCGGUAUUUACAAAUUGUUGACCACUCGACCCAACCAUAGUUGAGGAUUCCGAGCCACACCAUUUGGAGUAGUUUAGUCGAGUGCAACCUAACAUCAUUAAAGACGAGGUCGUUCCGUUCCGUCCACAAUGUCCAUAGAAUGAUUGUUCUGAGCUGCGUCCAUAUGAGGGUGAAUUGAACAAAUUUUUAGGGGAUUCUUUCUGAAAAAAGCCC